ACCCUUUAACGUUUGAUGUUCUAACCCGGGUCCAUAAUCUGGAUCGGGGACCGUGUCUGGUGGGUAGUUUGACUGGGGCGGUCUCCUCCCAAAGAGUAACGGAGGAGCACGAAGGUUGGCUAAGCAUGGUCGGACAUCAUGCGGUUAGUGCAAAGGCAUAAGCCAGCUUGACUGCGAGAGUGACGGCUCGAGCAGGUACGAAAGUAGGUCUUAGUGAUCCGGUGGUUCUGAAUGGAAGGGCCAUCGCUCAACGGAUAAAAGGUACUCCGGGGAUAACAGGCUGAUACCGCCCAAGAGUUCAUAUCGACGGCGGUGUUUGGCACCUCGAUGUCGGCUCAUCACAUCCUGGGGCUGAAGUAGGUCCCAAGGGUAUGGCUGUUCGCCAUUUAAAGUGGUACGCGAGCUGGGUUUAGAACGUCGUGAGACAGUUCGGUCCCUAUCUGCCGUGGGCGCUGGAAGAUUGAGAGGGGUUGCUCCUAGUACGAGAGGACCGGAGUGAACGCACCACUGGUGUACGGGUUGUGAUGCCAAUUGCAUUGCCCGGUAGCUAAGUGCGGAAGAGAUAACCGCUGAAAGCAUCUAAGCGGGAAACUUGCCUCGA
rnacentral:rRNA from 2 species